rnacentral:rRNA from 1 species
GACGAACGCUGGCGGCGUGCUUAACACAUGCAAGUCGAACGGAAAGGCCCCUUUGGGGGUACUCGAGUGGCGAACGGGUGAGUAACACGUGAGUAACCUGCCCUUUACUUCGGGAUAACUUCAGGAAACUGGGGCUAAUACCGGAUAGGAAUCCUUGCUGCAUGGCGGGGGUUGGAAAGCUUCGGCGGUUUUGGGUGGGUUGGCGGCCUAUCAGCUUGUUGGUGGGGUAGUGGCUUACCAGGGCUUUGACGGGUAGCCGGACUGGGAGGGCGACCGGCCAUACAGGGACUGACGUGCGGCCGAGACGCCGACGAGAGGCAGAAGUGGGGAAUAUUGAACAAUGGGCGGAGGCCGGAUGCAGAAAGGCCGCGGGCGGGAUAGCGGCCUUAGGGUUGAAAACCGCAUUCAGCAGGGGCGAAGCUUGUGGUGACGGUACCUGCAGAAGAAGCACCGGCUAACUACGUG